rnacentral:snoRNA from 1 species
GUGCCCCCUUCAAAUCGUUACCUCCUAAGCCUGGGGGUAGUAGGGGGAGGUCCAGGCUGCAGCUCCGGAGCACAUGCUUGCGCAUAACUGGGGCCCACUGCUCUUCUCCAGCUGCCCUUUCAAUCUCAAGCAACACAA